UACGAAGGGGGCUAGCGUUGUUCGGAAUUACUGGGCGUAAAGCGCGUGUAGGCGGCCACGUAAGUCGGAUGUGAAAGCCCCGGGCUCAACCCGGGAAGUGCACUCGAUACUGCGUGGCUUGAGUACUGGAGAGGUUGGUGGAAUUCUCGGUGUAGAGGUGAAAUUCGUAGAUAUCGAGAGGAACACCGGUGGCGAAGGCGGCCAACUGGACAGAUACUGACGCUGAGACACGAAAGCGUGGGGAGCAAACAGG
rnacentral:rRNA from 1 species